rnacentral:rRNA from 1 species
AGGAUGAACGCUGGCGGCGUGCUUAACACAUGCAAGUCGAACGAUGAAGCGGAGCUUGCUCUGUGGAUUAGUGGCGAACGGGUGAGUAACACGUGAGUAACCUGCCCUUGACUCUGGGAUAAGCACUGGAAACGGUGUCUAAUACCGGAUACGAGCUUCAGCCGCAUGGCUAGGAGUUGGAAAGAAUUUCGGUCAAGGAUGGACUCGCGGCCUAUCAGGUAGUUGGUGAGGUAAUGGCCCACCAAGCCUACGACGGGUAGCCGGCCUGAGAGGGUGACCGGCCACACUGGGACUGAGACACGGCCCAGACUCCUACGGGAGGCAGCAGUGGGGAAUAUUGCACAAUGGGCGCAAGCCUGAUGCAGCAACGCCGCGUGAGGGACGACGGCCUUCGGGUUGUAACCUCUUUAGUAGGAAGAAGCGAAGUGACGGUACCUGCAGAAAAGACACCGGCUAACUACGUGCCAGCAGCCGC